UACAGAGGUCUCAAGCGUUGUUCGGAUUCAUUGGGCGUAAAGGGCGCGUAGGCGGGCGGCCAAGUCAGGGGUGAAAGCCCCCAGCUCAACUGGGGAAGUGCCUCUGAUACUGGUCAUCUCGAGGGAGAUAGGGGCGUGCGGAACUUCCGGUGGAGCGGUGAAAUGCGUAGAUAUCGGAAGGAACACCGGUGGCGAAAGCGGCGCGCUGGAUCUCUUCUGACGCUGAGGCGCGAAAGCCAGGGGAGCGAACGGG
rnacentral:rRNA from 1 species